ensembl:snRNA U6 U6 spliceosomal RNA
GUGCUCCCUUCAGUAGCACAUGAACUAAAAUUGGAACAAUACAGAGAAGAUCCCUGCGCCAGGAUGACGGGCAAAUUCGCGAAGCGUUCCCCAUUUUC